rnacentral:rRNA from 4 species
UAACAACUUUCAGCAGUGGAUGUCUAGGCUCGCACAUCGAUGAAGAACGCUGCGAACUGCGAUACGUAAUGCGAAUUGCAGGAUUCAGUGAGUCAUCGAAAUUUUGAACGCAUAUUGCACUUCCGGGUUAGUCCUGGA